rnacentral:rRNA from 1 species
ACGAACGCUUUCUUCUUUCUUCACACAUGCAAGUCGAACGGAAAGGCCCUGCUUUUGUGGGGUGCUCGAGUGGCGAACGGGAGAGUAACACGUGAGUAACCUGCCCUUGACUUUGGGAUAACUUCAGGAAACUGGGGCUAAUACCGGAUAGGAGCUCCUGCUGCAUGGUGGGGGUUGGAAAGUUUCGGCGGUUGGGGAUGGACUCGCGGCUUAUCAGCUUGUUGGUGGGGUAGUGGCUUACCAAGGCUUUGACGGGUAGCCGGCCUGAGAGGGUGACCGGCCACAUUGGGACUGAGAUACGGCCCAGACUCCUACGGGAGGCAGCAGUGGGGAAUAUUGCACAAUGGGCGGAAGCCUGAUGCAGCAACGCCGCGUGCGGGAUGACGGCCUUCGGGUUGUAAACCGCUUUCGCCUGUGACGAAGCGUGAGUGACGGUAAUGGGUAAAGAAGCACCGGCUAACUACGUG